UCCUCUCUCCUAGGGGGUGUUCAGAGAGGGGCCCUGUUCCCCUAGGGGAGCAGUUCAGGGGUCCUGUUCCCUAGGCCAGGGGUCUGUUCGAGGUGUAGGAAUUGGGGUGUGACAGCUCAGCUGCGACCUUGCUUCCUCCACCCUGACACUAUGGGCAGGUCUGCACUUAAAUCACAGCAGCGCCUGGGCAUCUGCGCCGCUGUAGCACUUCAGUGAAGACAGGAGAGUGUCUCCCAUCGGCGUAGUUAAUCCACCUCCAGGAGAGGAAGUCACUAUGUUGAUGGGAAAAGCCGUCCCACAGACACAGUGCUGUCAGUGACAGGUCUUGUCUGGCUCAGAAGUCUCUGACUUGAAGAACUGCGAUUGCAGUGAAACCAACAGGUCCCUGAAAUCUCCGUCGCAGAGCAAAGGGGAUGAGAGAGAGGGCAGGAGAUGCUGCAAUUUGCUGGGGGUGGGACACCUACCAAGAAUUUGUCAAGUCCACUGACAGCAAUACAGUCUCUGAAGGAGGGAGCUGAAAAACUUUGCCAGCAGGGAAGGCAGAGUUCACAAAGCAAGAUACACAUCAGCGGUGUAUAUUCAAGAUCUUCUUUGGACUGGGAUAUUUUUGAAGCAUGGUCUAGUGGACAGAGCAUGGGAUGGGGUGUCGGGAAACCUGCAUUCUAUUCCCAGCUCCACCACUGACCUGCCACGUGAUCCUGAACAACCCACUUUGCCUCUGUUUCCCACCCCAUCCUUUGUCUGUAAUGUCUAUUUAGAUUAUAAUAUAUCACCAGUAUGAGAGCUCUCCAAACUCAAGGGAUCUAGAAAAUCUAAGCUCAGGUUUGUAAAGGUCCCUGGAGGCAAUCACUGUCUCCUUCUUUCAGACCACUUUUAAGAUGCCCUUGACAUAAGAUCCUUGUAGAGGGUUCCCCCAGGACCUUCAGAUCUGAAGCCAGUUUCGUGCAUGGCAAUCAUAGAACUGGCCAAUUGGCCAGAUUUCUCUUCCACAUGUCACCAAGCAACAGAGAGCAUUUGCUCUUGUCAUCUGAGUGCUCCAGGGAUAGCACUGCAUUGCACUCACACACUCCUGCUCCCUCGUGCGCAGGUCUAGGGUUAUGUCAGGAGACACUGCUAUGAAGAGUUCUCCUUCAUCAGGAACACCAGCCAGCAAGUGGCUAUGGGGACCAUCUCAGCAGCUUUACAGGCACCGGUCCCCUGAUGCUCAAUAAAGGGAUAAAGCAUCA